rnacentral:rRNA from 1 species
CCCAGUAACGGCGAGUGAAGCGGCAAGAGCUCAAAUUUGAAAUCUGGCCUCCCUUGGGGGGUCCGAGUUGUAAUUUGUAGAGGAUGCUUCGGGUGUGGCCGCCGUCUAAGUUCCUUGGAACAGGACGUCGUAGAGGGUGAGAAUCCCGUCUUGGGCGGCCGGUCCGCGCCCGUGUGAAGCUCCUUCGACGAGUCGAGUUGUUUGGGAAUGCAGCUCUAAGCGGGUGGUAAAUUUCAUCUAAAGCUAAAUACUGGCCGGAGACCGAUAGCGCACAAGUAGAGUGAUCGAAAGGUUAAAAGCACCUUGAAAAGGGAGUUAAACAGCACGUGAAAUUGUUGAAAGGGAAGCGCUUGCGGCCAGACUCGAGGGGCGGGGUUCAGCGGGUGCGCGUCACCCGUGCACUCCCCGUCCCCCCGGGCCAGCAUCAGUUUCGACGGCCGGUCAAAGGCCCCCGGAAUGUGUCGUCUCUAGGGACGUCUUAUAGCCGGGGGUGCAAUGCGGCCCGCCGGGACUGAGGAACGCGCUCCGGCUCGGAUGC